AUUGAACGCUGGCGGCAGGCCUAACACAUGCAAGUCGAGCGGGGUUUUCGGACCUAGCGGCGGACGGGUGAGUAAUGCGUAGGAAGCUGCCCGAUAGAGGGGGAUACCAGUUGGAAACGACUGUUAAUACCGCAUAAUGUCUACGGACCAAAGUGUGGGACCUUCGGGCCACAUGCUAUCGGAUGCGCCUACGCGGGAUU
rnacentral:rRNA from 1 species